rnacentral:tRNA from 1 species
CAGGGAGACAACAAAAUGUUUAAUAUUAUUAUUUUGUCACCUUAGGUCGAUCGGUAUCUCACGUUCUUAAUUUGUUAAGAAUUUCAUUUCCUAAGUUUUUCUAGGUCACACCCAUUAUUUUUCCUGGGCCAUUAGCUCAGGUGGUUAGAGCGCACCCCUGAUAAGGGUGAGGUCCCUGGUUCAAGUCCAGGAUGGCCCAUAUCUCUAUGUUGGGGGUAUAGCUCAGUUGGUAGAGCGCCUGCUUUGCAAGCAGGAUGUCAGCGGUUCGAGUCCGCUUACCUCCACUGAUUACCACCUCUUCCAUAACUUGUAGAAAGGAAAUGUUUUGAGUUGUGAUCAUUAUUCUGAACGAAUCUAGCUUCCUAAUGAAAUCAUUAAGAUGCUGGACUCAUUGAAUUAAUUUCAUUGUUUUCAGAGAACCUUGACAACUGCAUAGAUUUUUUUAAAGACAAUAAGCAUCUUUAAUGAUGCAGAUUUAUUAUUUGUGCGAAUGCAUUAAUAACAAUUCUAUUAAGCUGAUGCUUCAAUUUUUGAAGUUAUU